AUUGAACGCUGGCGGCAGGCCUAACACAUGCAAGUCGAACGAGUGGCGGACGGGUGAGUAAUGUCUGGGAAACUGCCCGAUGGAGGGGGAUAACUACUGGAAACGGUAGCUAAUACCGCAUCCCAUCGGAUGGGCCCAGAUGGGAUUAGCUAGUAGGUGGGGUAAAGGCUCACCUAGGCGACGAUCCCUAGCUGGUCUGAGAGGAUGACAAGCCACACUGGAACUAAGACACGGUCCAGACUCCUACGGGAGGCAGCAGUGGGGAAUAUUGCACAAUGGGCGCAAGCCUGAUGCAGCCAUGCCGCGUGUAUGAAGAAGGCCUUAGGGUUGUAAAGUACUUUCAGCGGGGAGGCGUUACCCGCAGAAGAAGCACCGGCUAACUCCGUGCCAGCAGCCGCGGUAAUUC
rnacentral:rRNA from 1 species